AGGGUUUGAUCAUGGCUCAGGAUGAAAGCUGGCGGCGUGCUUAACACAUGCAAGUCGAACGGACCUUCGGGUUAGUGGCGGACGGGUGAGUAACGCGUGAGAAUCUGCCCUCAGGAGGGGGAUAACGGUUGGAAACGACCGCUAAUACCCCAUAUGCCUAUUGGUGAAAUGAAUUUCGCCUGAGGAUGAGCUCGCGUCUGAUUAGCUAGUUGGUGAGGUAAUGGCUCACCAAGGCUUCGAUCAGUAGCUGGUCUGAGAGGAUGAUCAGCCACACUGGGACUGAGACACGGCCCAGACUCCUACGGGAGGCAGCAGUGGGGAAUUUUCCGCAAUGGGCGAAAGCCUGACGGAGCAACGCCGCGUGAGGGACGAAGGCCUCUGGGCUGUAAACCUCUUUUCUCAAGGAAGAAGAUAUGACGGUACUUGAGGAAUAAGCCACGGCUAAUUCCGUGCCAGCAGCCGCGGUAAUACGGGAGUGGCAAGCGUUAUCCGGAAUUAUUGGGCGUAAAGCGUCCGCAGGCGGCUUUUCAAGUCUGCUGUUAAAACGUGGAGCUUAACUCCAUCAUGGCAGUGGAAACUGAAAGGCUUGAGUAUGGUAGGGGCAGAGGGAAUUCCCGGUGUAGCGGUGAAAUGCGUAGAUAUCGGGAAGAACACCAGUGGCGAAGGCGCUCUGCUGGGCCAUUACUGACGCUCAUGGACGAAAGCCAGGGGAUCGAAAGGGAUUAGAUACCCCUGUAGUCCUGGCCGUAAACGAUGAACACUAGGUGUCGGGGGAAUCGACCCCUUCGGUGUCGUAGCUAACGCGUUAAGUGUUCCGCCUGGGGAGUACGCACGCAAGUGUGAAACUCAAAGGAAUUGACGGGGGCCCGCACAAGCGGUGGAGUAUGUGGUUUAAUUCGAUGCAACGCGAAGAACCUUACCAGGGUUUGACAUCCUGCGAACCUCUUAGAAAUUUGAGGGUGCCUUCGGGAAUGCAGUGACAGGUGGUGCAUGGCUGUCGUCAGCUCGUGUCGUGAGAUGUUGGGUUAAGUCCCGCAACGAGCGCAACCCACGUUUUUAGUUGCCAGCAUUUAGUUGGGCACUCUAGAAAGACCGCCGGUGAUAAACCGGAGGAAGGUGUGGAUGACGUCAAGUCAUCAUGCCCCUUACACCCUGGGCUACACACGUACUACAAUGCUACGGACAAAGGGCAGCAAACUCGCGAGAGCUAGCAAAUCCCAUAAACCGUGGCUCAGUUCAGAUCGUAGGCUGCAACUCGCCUACGUGAAGUAGGAAUCGCUAGUAAUCGCAGGUCAGCAUACUGCGGUGAAUACGUUCCCGGGCCUUGUACACACCGCCCGUCACACCAUGGAAGUUGGCCAUGCCCGAAGUCGUUACUCCAACCCUUGUGGAGGAGGACGCCGAAGGUGGGGCUAAUGACUGGGGUGAAGUCGUAACAAGGUAACC
rnacentral:rRNA from 1 species